rnacentral:rRNA from 1 species
GACGUAGGGCGCGAGCGUUGUCCGGAAUCACUGGGCGUAAAGCGCGCGUAGGUGGUUCGUUAAGUUGGAUGUGAAAUCCCCGGGCUCAACCUGGGAACUGCAUUCAAAACUGUCGAGCUAGAGUAUGGUAGAGGGUGGUGGAAUUUCCUGUGUAGCGGUGAAAUGCGCAGAUAUCAGGAGGAACACCGAUGGCGAAGGCAGGUCUCUGGGCCGAUACUGACGCUGAGGAGCGAAAGCGUGGGGAGCGAACAGG